GACGAAGGUGGCGACCGUUGUUCGGAAUCACUGGGCAUAAAGAGCACGUAGGCGGCAAGGUAUGUCGGGUGUGAAAUCCCUCGGCCUAACCGAGGAAUUGCGCCCGAAACUACCUUGCUUGAGGAUGGAAGGGGAGCGUGGAAUUCCUGGUGGAGCGGUGAAAUGCGUUGAUAUCAGGAGGAACACCGGCGGCGAAGGCGACGCUCUGGUCCAUUACUGACGCUGAGGUGCGAAAGCCAGGGGAGCAAACGGG
rnacentral:rRNA from 1 species